rnacentral:rRNA from 1 species
AACGAACGCUGGCGGCAGGCUUAACACAUGCAAGUCGAACGGGUGUAGCAAUACAUCAGUGGCAGACGGGUGAGUAACACGUGGGAACCUUCCUAGGGGUACGGAACAACCCAGGGAAACUUGAGCUAAUACCGUAUACGUCCGUGAGGAGAAAGAUUUAUCGCCCUUAGACGGGCCCGCGUCGGAUUAGCUAGUUGGUGGGGUAACGGCCUACCAAGGCGACGAUCUGUAGCUGAUCUUAGAGGAUGAUCAGCCACACUGGGACUGAGACACGGCCCAGACUCCUACGGGAGGCAGCAGUGGGGAAUCUUGGACAAUGGGCGCAAGCCUGAUCCAGCCAUGCCGCGUGAGUGAAGAAGGUCUUCGGAUUGUAAAGCUCUUUUGCCAGGGACGAUAAUGACGGUACCUGGAGAAUAAGCCCCGGCAAACUUCGUGCCAGCCGCCGCCGUAA